rnacentral:rRNA from 1 species
AGGAGAGUUUGAUCCUGGCUCAGGAUGAACGCUAGCUACAGGCUUAACACAUGCAAGUCGAGGGGCAGCAUGAGAUUAGCUUGCUAAUCUUGAUGGCGACCGGCGCACGGGUGAGUAACGCGUAUCCAACCUUCCCCUUAGUAGGGCAUAGCCCGGCGAAAGUCGGAUUAAUACCCUAUGUUCUUCGUAGAGGACAUCUGAAAUGAAGCAAAGACUUGUCGCUAAGGGAUGGGGAUGCGUCUGAUUAGGUAGUCGGCGGGGUAACGGCCCACCGAGCCUACGAUCAGUAGGGGUUCUGAGAGGAAGGUCCCCCACAUUGGAACUGAGACACGGUCCAAACUCCUACGGGAGGCAGCAGUGAGGAAUAUUGGUCAAUGGGCGAGAGCCUGAACCAGCCAAGUAGCGUGCAGGAUGACGGCCCUAUGGGUUGUAAACUGCUUUUAUGCGGGGAUAAAGUGAGGGACGUGUCCCUUUUUGUAGGUACCGCAUGAAUAAGGACCGGCUAAUUCCGUGCCAGCAGCCGCGGUAAUACGGAAGGUCCGGGCGUUAUCCGGAUUUAUUGGGUUUAAAGGGAGCGCAGGCUGAUUGUUAAGCGUGACGUGAAAUGUAGCCGCUCAACGGCUGAACUGCGUCGCGAACUGGCAGUCUUGAGUGAGUACGACGUCAGCGGAAUUCGUGGUGUAGCGGUGAAAUGCUUAGAUAUCACGAAGAACCCCGAUUGCGAAGGCAGCUGACGAGUCCUUUACUGACGCUAAAGCUCGAAGGUGCGGGUAUCGAACAGGAUUAGAUACCCUGGUAGUCCCCU